GUGCCCUCAAGUCUACUCACGACUGGGGUGCUGUGAGAAGCUGAAAAGUCCUCGACUUUGUGUAAUUAAAUGUUGGGAAUGUUAAAAGAUGAAUAAGGAAUGGCUGAAAGGACACAUUUAAUUACCUACCAGAUUAAGGAGAAAAAUUCUGGAAAGCAGAGUAAAAUCUGCUUGUAGGAAUUAUUUUUACCUUUAUACUCAAGAGUUAAUGGACAAAAUAUAGGAAUGGUCUCAAGAAAGGAAAACAAAACUGGACUUUUCAAAGUGCCUCAGACUUGCUGGACAUGUACAGGGCUACUUUCUUGGAGGCACAGAGCUGGCUUGACACACUCAGUGCCAGAUCAGCUGUGUGUUGAUAGUGCCUUGUGGACUUAAAAAUCAGACUGGACGUUAGUUGCACUUGCCUGGUCCAUGUAUGGCUUUCUGGGCCUGUCCUGCAAGUGACACAAGUGACAGUGUCCCUGCCAACCCAUUGCUGUGACUGGAUUACAUCUCUUGUGGAUCUGCUCAUGGUCCUGGAGAUACUUUACUGUU